rnacentral:rRNA from 1 species
ACGAACGCUGGCGGCGUGCUUCACCCAUGCAAGUCGAACGGAAAGGCCCUGCUUUUGUGGGGUGCUCGAGUGGCGAACGGGUGAGUAACACGUGAGUAACCUGCCCUUGACUUUGGGAUAACUUCAGGAAACUGGGGCUAAUACCGGAUAGGAGCUCCUGCUGCAUGGUGGGGGUUGGAAAGUUUCGGCGGUUGGGGAUGGACUCGCGGCUUAUCAGCUUGUUGGUGGGGUAGUGGCUUACCAAGGCUUUGACGGGUAGCCGGCCUGAGAGGGUGACCGGCCACAUUGGGACUGAGAUACGGCCCAGACUCCUACGGGAGGCAGCAGUGGGGAAUAUUGCACAAUGGGCGGAAGCCUGAUGCAGCAACGCCGCGUGCGGGAUGACGGCCUUCGGGUUGUAAACCGCUUUCGCCUGUGACGAGGCGUGAGUGACGGUAAUGGGUAAAGAAGCACCGGCUAACUACGUG